UUUAGUUGGUUAAGGGAAAUUGUGAGAAGUUUGUUGUGUGGAUUGUGUUGUAAGAUCUUAUUUGAUAGUUUGAUAGCAAAGGUUGUUGUAGUAAGGUGGAGAGUGGUUUGGAGUGCCUGGGAAGAGGUGUUUGAAUGGAUUUUGGCAGAUUUGUGACAAGGUAUUUUGAUCCGUUUUGAGAUUGGCAAGUGAAGUUGGAGUUAUGAGAGACAGGUAUUGAAACGAAAAUGGGG